AUACGCACCUGGCAGGGGAGUCGCCACGCUCACGAAGGCGGUUUUCCCAGCGAGGCUUAUCCGCUGCACUCCGGAUGUGCCGACCCCUGCGAUUUCCCCACGUGUGGGAACUCGGCUGCGUGAUCCGUGGUGGUGGGGACUGCGGGCCUGCUCGCCCCAC